AAAGUCGGUUAGGCAAUCGCUCAUGGUGUUCGCACUAUGGGAGGAAAGUCCGGGCUCCGCAGGAUACGAUGCCAGGUAAUGCCUGGGAGGCGCGAGUCUACGGAAAGUGCAACAGAAAAGAAACCGCCUUGUUUACAAGGUAAGGGUGAAAUGGUGCGGUAAGAGCGCACCGCGCUUCUGGUAACAGAAGUGGCAAGGUAAACCCCAUCGGGAGCAAGAUCAAAUAGGGGUUCAGGUAAACUUCGGUUUGCCACGUGUGAUCCGCACGGAACCCGGGUAGAUCGCUUGAGGUUGAUGGUGACGUCAAUCCCAGAUGAAUGGUUGCCCACGACAGAACCCGGCUUAUCGACCGACUUUUUUA
rnacentral:RNase_P_RNA from 1 species